GUAUAUGAUGAUUUGCACAACUCACGACGGUCAACUGCAAUCCACUUUGUUGAGUGUGAUUUUUGAUGAUAAUCCGGGUCUUACCACCCGUGCACCUGAAA
rnacentral:snoRNA from 1 species